AACGCACAUUGCGCCCCUUGGUAUUCCGAGGGGCAUGCCUGUUCGAGCGUCAUUACACCACUCAAGCACUGCUUGGUAUUGGGCGACCGUCCCCCUCACGGGGGGCGCGCCUCAAAGACCUCGGCGGAGCCUCACCGGCUUUGGGCGUAGUAGAAUUACUUCGAACGUCCGUCAAUGGAGAGGCCUCCUCAGCCGACUGAAGCCUUUAAAUUUUUCUAAGGUUGACCUCGGAUCAGGUAGGGAUACCCGCUGAACUUAA
rnacentral:misc_RNA from 1 species